UAUGGGGGGGGCAAGCGUUGUUCGGAAUUACUGGGCGUAAAGGGUUCGUAGGUGGCCAACUAAGUCAGACGUGAAAUCCCUCAGCUUAACUGGGGAACUGCGUCUGAUACUGGUCUGGCUUGAGUGCAGGAGAGGAACGCGGAAUUCCAGGUGUAGCGGUGAAAUGCGUAGAUAUCUGGAGGAACACCGGUGGCGAAGGCGGCGUUCUGGACUGCAACUGACACUGAGGAACGAAAGCCAGGGGAGCAAACGGG
rnacentral:rRNA from 1 species